rnacentral:rRNA from 1 species
UAGGGAAUCUUCCGCAAUGGGCGAAAGCCUGACGGAGCAACGCCGCGUGAGUGAUGAAUGUCUUCGGAUCGUAAAACUCUGUUCUUAGGGAAGAACAAAUGUGUAAGUAACUAUGCACGUCUUUACGGUACCUAAUCAGAAAGCCACGGCUAACUACGUGCCAGCAGCCGCGGUAAUACGUAGGUGGCAAGCGUUAUCCGUAAUUAUUGGGCGUAAAGCGCGCGUAGGCGGUUUUUUAAGUCUGAUGUGAAAGCCAACGGCUCAACCGUGGAGGGUCAGUAGAAACUGGAAAACUUGAGUGCAGAAGAGGAAAGUGGAAUUCCAUGUGUAGCGGUGAAAUGCGCAGAGAUAUGGAGGAACACCAGUGGCGAAGGCGACUUUUUGGUCUGUAACUGACGCUGAUGUGCGAAAGCGUGGGGAUCAAACAGG